GCUCAGAGCAUGAGUAGGUGCUGCCCAGGGCCCUUCAGCCGGGCUUUGCUGACAGCACCUACUGGGCAUGGGGGCUGUGACUGCUGUGUUGCUACCCCUGGAGCAGCAGUUCAGCCCUCCAUCUUCUUUCUGCUCCCAAGAAGGUGCUGUGGGAUGGAUGGCAGGAUGUGUCCCUGUCUCUGUCUACAUCUGCUGUGGUGAGGGGAGGACCAGAAAGGACCAACCCCAAAGUCACCAGCAUCAUCAAGAAACCCCCCAUGGCAUCCGGAGAGCCCAAGGUCUCCUCCACUUUGCUGGGACAGAGGAUCAGCCCCUGCCUGGCAAAGUCACCAGAGCACUGCAAACUGCCUCACCAGUGCUGUGACCUGCUGAAGCUGUGGUCUCAUCCCAAUGGUGGUUGGCUCGGGAGAGCCCUGGUGAUCCCUCCUUUCCCCAUCGCCAGUGAAGGAAUCUCCCAAUGACUCUUCCCUGUGGCUGCGCGCUGAGAUUGCAAGAGCAGGUUCCCCGGUUGGCUCAUGCCAUGUUUCAACAUAAAACCACUGCACGUCUCUGCUUCAGCUAUUUUAAGAGCCAUAAUUCACCAUGACUAUCUCCAGGGACUUCCUACCAGGUGGCCUGGAAUAGCCAUGGUGUGGGUAAUCCAUCCCUGGAGCGAGUCAGCGCUGCCCUGCACGUGUCCCACGGGAGCCUUUGGCCAGGCACAAGAAAGCUGAACAAACAAAUACGACUAUAAACAAUGUUUGGAGGCCUGUGAAGUACCUCCCACGUCCGAUUAGGUCACUUUAGCGGAAGCUCAACUUUGUUUUGCCCAGCUUGACUGGGAAGCUCUUUAAAGAAAACCCAAAGCAGGCUGUGCCUCACCUUCACCAGGCCAUCUAAAACCCUUGAUUUUAGUUAUAAAUCUCUUCUAACAGCUCAUGUUAUCAAAAGCUUAUGGUUAUCGCAGUAAACUCUGACCUGGAAAGCCAUUUAUACCAGUUAUCUCAUCUCUCCCAGCUGGGCAGACCAAAGGGACAUCCUUUAUCAAAGCACAGGUGGGGUGAGGAUUUGACCCAAUUUGCAUUUACUUAGGAGCUGAUCUCAUUUCCAAUUUAAUUAAGUUUUCUCAUAUUUUUUGGCAUAUCCUAAAGGUACGCACCAGCCUGAUAUAUGACCCAAGGGGAAUGAAUGUAAAUUGCUUAUAGCAAAAGGAUUCGGGUGGCAGUUUUAAGAAAAAACAGAGCAGAUUUUAAAUGCAGGUUGAAAUGCAGCUCCUGAGAGCAAGCAGUGUCAUCUGUUGGGAAGAGAGAGCAGGUAACAGACUUGUAACCUAAAUGGCAGACUUACUCUUAUACGGGAAAUAGGAC